rnacentral:rRNA from 1 species
AAACGAUGAAUGUUAGUCGUUGGAUAGCUAGUCUAUUCAGUGAUGCAGCUAACGCAUUAAACAUUCCGCCUGGGGAGUACGGUCGCAAGAUUAAAACUCAAAGGAAUAGACGGGGACCCGCACAAGUGGUGGAGCGUGUGGUUUAAUUCGAAGAUACGCGAAGAACCUUACCUGGCCUUGACAUCCCAAGAACUUUUCAGAGAUGAAUUGGUGCCCUUCGGGGAACUUGGUGACAGGUGCUGCACGGCUGUCGUCAGCUCGUGUCGUGAGAUGUUGGGUUAAGUCCCGCAACGAGCGCAACCCUCGUGUUUAGUUGCUAACAGUUAGGCUGAGCACUCUAAACAGACUGCCUCCGCAAGGAGGAGGAAGGUGAGGACGACGUCAAGUCAUCAUGGUCCUUACGGCCAGGGCGACACACGUGCUACAAUGGGCAGGACAAUGAGACGCAAUACCGCGAGGUGGAGCAAAUCUAUAAACCUGCUCUCAGUUCGGAUAGCAGUCUGCAACUCGACUGCUUGAAGCUGGAAUCACUAGUAAUCGUAGAUCAGCCAUGCUACGGUGAAUACGUUCCCGGGUCUUGUACUCACCGCCCGUCACACCAUGGGAGUUGAGUUCACCCGAAGCGGGGAAGCUAAAUUGGCUACCUGCCACGGUGGGCUCAGCGACUGGGGUGAAGUCGUAACAAGGUA